rnacentral:lncRNA from 1 species
CUCCGGUGUAUGGUCCCCAUCCCUUCACGGCUUGCUCCAGCCAAUCAGACCUUCCAUCUCCCGACCACACAGGCUGGCUCAGGCAUGGGCACGUGGUCCCAGCCAGGCCAUUAAUACACAAUCCGGGUCUUUUCCUGGGGGUUUGGGGAGAAGUGCUGAGGGUGAGAACAUAGACCUGGAGCUCCCAGCAGCCAUGUUGGCACCAUGCAAGAUGAACCAGAGAGAGCAAUGCCACACAUUAGAAAAACAGAACCCAGAGGGCAGGACUGUAUCAAAGACCCCCCGAGAACUGGUCCAAGCCCCCAAUGGGACAGUCCAGCCAGCGGGAUCAACCAAAUUCAAAUCAGAGCUGCCUGGCAGGAAGUCAUGUGAAUUAUGGCCCCAUUGUGAAGGUGUUUCAAAAGAAACUGAACUUUUGCCUUCUUCUUUGUCUCAAAAUCAAUGUUAAAUGAACCAAAGACACCCAGUAAGCCGGCCUGCGCUGGCCACAUGGCACCCCUGACCCAAGGGCACGACCAUCCACCAACUCCAAGCUGGCUUGACAUUUUGCUUCCCCCUUGCAUGGGGCAGCAGAGGCGUGGACUCACCAGCUGAUGUGAUCAUGGGUGAGAAUAACACCAGGGGAGAAAAGGUAAGGCUGAAAAGCCACCAGACCCAAGGAGAAAGUGUGGACCUACCUGGCCAGCAACUUCAGGGAUUCAAGUGCUACCCUUCCCAGUUGACUGGGUGAAGACUUCAGGAGACCACACAGAGAGAGAGUGGGCCAGACAUGGACCCCCUGAAAAGUGCAAGCUCCGCUAGGAAGGACAUGGGCC